AGAGUUUGAUCCUGGCUCAGAAUGAACGCUGGCGGCGUGCUUAACACAUGCAAGUCGAACGGUAACAGAGGAGCUUGCUCCUGCUGACGAGUGGCGCACGGGUGAGUAAUGCAUAGGUAACGUGCCCCUUAGUCUGGGAUAGCCACUGGAAACGGUGAUUAAUACUGGAUACUCCUUCUACCUUAAUGGUAGUUGGGAAAUUUUUUAGCUAAGGGAUCGGCCUAUGUUGUAUCAGGUAGUUGGUGAGGUAAUGGCUCACCAAGCCUAUGACACAUAGCGGGUCUGAGAGGAUGAUCCGCCACACUGGUACUGAGACACGGACCAGACUCCUACGGGAGGCAGCAGUGGGGAAUAUUGCACAAUGGACGAAAGUCUGAUGCAGCAACGCCGCGUGGAGGAUGACACAUUUCGGUGCGUAAACUCCUUUUAUAUGAGAAGAUAAUGACGGUAUCAUAUGAAUAAGCACCGCUAACU
rnacentral:rRNA from 1 species